GACGAACGCUGGCGGCGUGCUUAACACAUGCAAGUCGAACGACGUGGCGAACGGGUGAGUAACGCGUAAUCAACCUGCCCUUCAGAGGGGGACAACAGUUGGAAACGACUGCUAAUACCGCAUACUGAAGGAGGGGCUUGCGUCUGAUUAGCUGGUUGGCGGGGUAACGGCCCACCAAGGCGAUGAUCAGUAGCCGGUUUGGGAGGAAGAACGGCCAAAGUGGGACUGAGACACGGCCCAGACUCCGACGGGAGGGAGCAGUGGGGAAUCUUUCGAAAUUGACGAAAGUCUGACGGAGCAACGCCGCAUGGGUGAUGACGGCCUUCGGGUUGUAAAGCUCUGUUAAACGGGACGCGGGACCGGAAUAGAAAGCCACGGCUAACUACGUGCCAGCAGCCGCGGUAAUUC
rnacentral:rRNA from 1 species